UACCAGUAGCAUGUCGUGAUGGGACACGAGCAAAUGGUUUAGAAUUGAAAAAGGGUAAGCAACCUGGGAGGUGUCUGUGCACGUGGCAGGGGGGUUGGAACUAGAUGAUUUUAAGGUCCUUUCCAACCCAAACCAUUCUGUGAUUCUCUAAGAAGUUCUUUACUAAGAGGUGGUGAGGCACUGGCACAGGUUGCCCAGAGAAGCUGUGACUGCCCUAUCCCUGGCAGUGUUCAAGGCCAGGUUGAAUAGGGCUUGAAGCAACCUGGUCUAGUGGAAGGUGUCCCUGCUCAUGGCAGGGGGGUUGGAACUGGGGGAGCUUUAAGGUCUCUUCCAACCUGAGCCAUUCCAUGAUUCUGUGGAAAUGAGGCAUUUCUGACAGCUGUGGUAGUCAGCUGAGCCUGGUACUUAUUCACUGGAUCCCAUUGUCAGCAUUGGUGAUCUUUUAGAUAGUACCUUAAACAUUGCUGGAAGUCAGUGUCAUCUGUUAAUCUUUGAUGGUUCCUGGUGUCUCAGAUGUUAAAAUGAGAGGUUCACCAAUUAAGAAGCAGUAUCACAAAGUUGGUGCUUGUGGGCUUUCAGUACAUUUUGUUAUGUUCAAAGUUUUGUAACUUAUUCUUCACUUCUGAAUGCCAUACCUCUACUCCUCCUCUUCUUGGUGGGGUAUAGUAGUAGUUUAAUAAUAGUGGGGGGAUAAUGGCAUAGAUUCUAUGAUUUAAACCUAGUAUAGUUAUGGAGCUGUUUCUGUAACUUUUACCUGAGCACUAGGUUGUCUCUGCACCUAUGAUCACGCACAUGAUUGGGCACAUAUUCACUAAUAAAAUGGUGGCAAGUAGAGAGUAGUGAGUGCAACAUUUUUAAUUCAUGCUGUUUUCUGGUUGUCAAAGGGUAAGUGAGCAUGAGAUGAAAGCCAGUGCCAUGUCUAUUUUAAGUCCAUGUCUUUAUAUUGCUCCUCAAAAGAGAAUGAUCCUACUGACACAUUUUUGGGUUUCACCCUACUCUUGCAAUUAUCAUUCAAGUUCCUGUAUUUAUUCAAAGUCAGUAUAUAAUGCAACAGACAUUUUUGUGGGUUUAUCUGGACUUUAGUUUUUUCUUUAUCAGAAGAUGAAGUUAAAAUUCAAAGAACUGAAUGCUUAAAAAUAAAUCUUUCUGUCCUAUAAAAAGUCACACAUAAAAUACCAGCUCCUGACUUGACCUCUCAAUGAGCUAUAACUGUAAUCAGAAUGAGGUGCUGUAGUCUUGCAGUGGUAGUAGUAAAUACAAAAUUGCGUAUGUGUGCACACUGUUAUCAUGGGCAAGUGGGUAAUUCAUGAAUGUAAUGCUCAGUAUAUGAGGCUCCCCAAUGGUGUGUAAUCAUUUCCACACACAGUUUUCUGCAUGUUGCUGGUUGUGUGCACCAGUGCCCAGUAUGGCACUGAAGGAUGGCACUAAGUCAUGCAGGCACAACCACAUAGUUUCAGGUCUCUCUGGGAAGUACCCCAUGAGCCACUCCUGAAGACAAAUGUACAUGUGCUCUCUGUGUGCUGGGGUAGCCUACUGAUCCCGUAACUAAGAAAAUGGAAAGAAAGCACAAUGUACAUUAUGAUAAGCUCCAGGAUAGCAAUCCAUUGUGGUUUAGAGGAAAAUGAAAGAUAGAUUUUUCUGUUUUGUUUGGCUUUUGAAGCUUUAGUCUUUCAUUAAUGAUUUCUUUGAUUCCUGUAGUUGUACACUGUCAGAGACUGUAGGAUAGUUUAUCUCCUCCUAUCAUUUUUUGCCCUGUGUAAGCCUAUUCAGAAUUGCCUAUAAGGGUCAGCACUGAUCUGUCUAACUUCCAUGCCAGGUAAAUAAUCAGAUAUAAUUGCACUAAAAUCAAUGAAUAUAUACUGACAUGAAACUGUGAGAAGAAAAUCAGCCUCAUAGUGUUUUAUACUUGUAUAGCUGAAAGCCAAAAAUAGCUAUCAUAAACACAACGUGUCCUUUCAGAAGGAAUAGUCAAUGCCUAUCUUACAGUUGUCCAAAAAGUUUCUUCUAUUUCAGCAGCUUUGGGUUAGGAAAUUGAAGGCAGCAAUCUUGGAAUGAGAACAUAAUCGGAGAAACUUUUUGUUCCAGUAACUAAUCUCCUUCUCCUUAAUUCUGUGCUGUUAAUCUUAGCGUGCACAUACCCACACUAUUAACAUUUGGCAAGGACUGUUUUCUUAAACAGGGACCCUUAAGCGUGUUGCCAAAUACACAGGGUUAAUUCUAAUGACUGUGUUUUAAACUGCUGCUCUUUAAUUAUAUAUGUUCCUAUCCUAGGCAUAACAGCAAAAUGUAAGUGGUAUGGAAUGUUACAUUCCAAUUAGUUUUGAUGUGCAAAUGGGAAUUAGAGUUGAUGGGUAAGCCUGACAUGUACUGCAUGACUUGUCAUGUUUUUCCUGGAGAGAGGGGAGUCUUGGGACUGAGUCACCAAUGAAGAACAUGGAGCCCCGCAGGCACAGAACUGGUGCAAUGGAGUGAUGAGUCAGACCUUUUAUCUUCAAAUUCGGUAUUAGGUGGUAUUCAUGCAUGGGGUGCAUUGCACUCAUUGUGUACCUAGGCAAGUAACUAGCACAGAAAAACAGUCCUCUGACUCUGGGACACUUUUUCUUGGCAGAGGUGGUCCUGCUUCUAUUGAGAUGAAAGGGUGUUGGUUAAGAUUGUGUAGGAAAUCACAGUGUAUUAGCUUGCUGAUCAAAUCAGGUCUGCCAGGCAAUAUACAUCCAUUUCUUACAUUGUUUCAAAUCCCGUAGUAGUAUGACACAUUACUUACAUUUUCAAUUCCUGCAUUGUAGAUCUGUACCAGCUUUUUCACACUUCUGAAACCAGAUAGAGGAGGAAGAGCAGUGUUCAUAUGCCCCAAUAUGUGUGUAAACUAUAUGUCUUUCGGGAGUGUUGCUGUGGAAUGACAGUAUUGUUUCUGAUCCCAGAGGAAGUUGAUGUUAUUGCUAAGCUAAUGAAAAUAGUUGAAAUUUCGUAGAAGUGGUAGCCUCAGAAAUAUGUUAAACAGCGAGAGUGAAGGUGGCUCACUCAGCUGUUUCUAGAAACAAAACAAAGCCUUACAUCAGAGAUGUCUUCACUUAGUCACUUAGCCUGAAAUUUCUUGAAUAGCGAUCAUUAAUAACACCAUAUCUUCUCAGGCUCACAGAGCAUGAAAGUUCCUUGAUUUAUAAUCGUUUGGGAGCAGGUGCUCAAAAUUGUGUCCACUUGCACAAACAGCACAAGUGUGACACUUCUGCUGAAAAUGGAGUGGGCACAUACAGGGGUCAAUUGUGUGUGUAGCGAUUGGAAUGGCCCGGAAGAGUGUAAUGAAACAGCUCCCUAUCCUACAUCAUUAGAGAAGCUACUAAAGAGACUGUGUUUGGAAAAACAUGAGGAUUUUAUCUGAAAGUUUUAGCAGAAGGUUAUUGAUCUGUAUGUUUUAAAAUCUUGUGAACUGUAAAAAGUCACCAUUUUGUGAUCACCACAGAUAUUAGUGUUGGUUGGGGAUGGGGGGGGGGGUGUUAAUGGUCUUGCAAAAAAAGCUUCUGUCUUCUCACAUUGCCUUAAAUUGGAAAACUUACAAUGAAGACACAUUGGAAGUGCAGGAAAGAUGUGCCAAUUUAGGUCUAAAUCAUUCCAAUUCCAAUUAAAGUGUAAAUGAUUUUAUUUGUUUUUAAGUUAGAUAUACCUGUUGUAUUCUCUAGAUGUCUAGAUAUCUAGAAUAUCACCUGUGAAGAAAUCAACACAGGCAGGGUUUACCAGUUGUGGCAACUGAAAUGAAAUGCCAAACCACUUGGAGGAACUUGGAAAUUUCAGUGGUCUUUGUGUCCUGGUGUGGAGAUCCACAAACCUGAGACUAGUUGCACUAAUGAAGAAAGUAAUGCCAGAACUGGAAAUCUCCAGAGAAACCCAUCUCAGCUCUAGAGAGAUGGAUAUCUAAGAAAAGCUUUCAAGUACUACCUCUUGUUUGGAUUUAGUUACCACGGAACUGGAAUGCCAUGAAGUCACAAGGUGAUAUCAUGCAAUCAAUAUUAUUUUGCUACUGACUUCAGUAGAGCCAGGGUUUUGCCGUGCUGCUUAUUAAGGUAGGCAGGACUGAAAUGUAUGGGGCUAAAUCUUUCUUUCAUUUAUGAUGACAUAAAUCCAGUCCCAGUGUAUUUUCAUCCUAACAGUGAAGAGAGAAAGAGAUCACAACUGUAUCAGCUGUCCAUGGCAUAUCCACAACUGCUGCUAGAGCAUGCAAUUAUUUUAUGAUCUUCCUGUAUGCUAUGCAAAACCUUUACCAUUAAACGUGUGACAUCAUCUUCUCCUCCUGUAACCACUGUAUUUAUCAUGGGUAUGUGAGAAGUUAAUGCUGACAGUUCACAUACCUGUGCAUAUGCCACAAAGAUCCAGAGGGAGAUCCUGAGCUGUAUCUUUUAUUGUACAGAGGCUGCAUUUGUAUGAGGAUGCUCUGUAUAAGCAGAACGGCCUGCAAAGGGAAAUACAGAGAUUUUUGUAACUAUUCAAAAGAGAUUACAACUUAAAAGAAUUCCAUCCUAUAAUGUACAAAGUACAAAAAUAAAGGCUCUUUUCAGUUAAAUCCUCUACCAGAUUGAUGUCAAGAAGCAAUGCAAUAUCUCAAAUGAUUUGGGAUUUUUUAAUCUUCUUAGCUAGAAGAGAUGUCAGAAGAGCCAGGGGUGGAGAUCUACAAAAAUGCAGUAGAAGAUUCAUGUGGAAUUUCCUCAUGCAGUGGUCUGAAUGCCUCUGCUUGUUUUGCUUAAAAUGAAAUUCAGACUUCAGAAGCAUACUUGAUUUUCUUUUCUCUUGAUGCUGACAAGCUCUGCUUUCUCUUUGCUGUCUAAAGAUAUAACAGCAAUUAAAAUGUAGUGUGCCAGCGAUGUCUAUAAACUGCUUUGUGAUGUAAGAAUCAUUACGUAAGAUUUUUUCUGACAUGAAGAAAAUUAACAAGAGCAAAGAAGUCUUUUGGUAUUAUUUGCAGCUUUUCGAAAGUUUAGCUGGAACUUCCUCCUCAUGGUGACUCCUUGUGCAGCGGGUGUGAGUGGAGGCUUGUUUAACUGGUGACACUCCUCUAUAGUGAAAUUUGUCCGUGUUGUUUUAAAUAAACGCCUGAUAUAAUUUUGCCCUUAGACCUUACAGGUGAAUAGAUCUGUUGAACAGUGAGAUCUCGUUGAACUGUGCAUCUUGGCUUGUGCAGGAAGGUGGAACUGUGUUUGUACCAUGUUUGGCACCAGGUAAGAUGGAUGAGCUGGUUCCAACCAGGAGGAAGAGCCAAUUGAGAGGUCCCAAAGCAGAGUCCAGGUGACUGAAGGAAAAGAAGAUAAUACAACCUUUUCUGAAAUGUGAUUUUUUCCAUUAAAGGAUUAAAACCCCAAA